rnacentral:lncRNA from 1 species
UAAAUUGUAAAUAUUAAUUCUAUCUGCUUGUCCGCUUAGAUCCUUUGUGAAGAGACAAAGAGAGACCGUGUGGUCUGGGGACAAGCCUCUGUCCAGUUUUCCAAGGACUUUUGUCAUCUGAAAUUGUUUUCAGGACAGUCUUUCAAUUGGCUUUCCAGGAGGCUGAUUCUGCAGUUCACACCGCAGGCAAUAACUCUGACCGCCACCCCCCAGCCCCACUCAGUGUUAGUCUAGCAGCUUUGCCUUUCUCUUUAGACCCAACUCAGACCCUGCCAUAUGGAUACACUGUUUAAAAGAGUGUACCAAGAUGCACCACCUCCCCCCACCCCCAGAAAGCAAAUGGUAUCUCCCUAUUGUCAGAAAAUAACACAACUCACAUCAAUGACCUUUCUUCUCCUCCCUCCUUCUCUCCCUCCCUCCCCUUCCUACCCCUCUCUCUAUUCCUCCCUCCUUUCCUCUGUUUUGCCUUCCUUCCCUUCCUUCUAACCCCCCCCCCCCCCCCCCCCCCAGCAAGCUCUCUCUACAUAGCCCCGGCUGUCUUGGAACUCACUCUGUAGACCAGGCUGGCCUGGAACUCUGCCUGCCUCUUCCUCCCGAGUGCUGGGAUUAAAGUCAUGUACCACCACACCUGGCAAUUUGUCUCAAUUUAACCUGUUUUACUGAGUUCCAUGUGAUUUAAUCUGUUACAGUUUAAAGCUCAGGUUUCCUAUGAUAACGAUAUGGCAGACCUUGAGAGAUUUAGGUCCCUAAUCAUUAAAAAAUGGAUUUCUGCAUUGUGUAAAAAUCUUUGUCAUGGUAUGCUUGAGAAAUCUUUCCCAAAAUCAUUUAUAAUUUUUUUGUAAGUGCCCAUGUAAUACAUGGACAGAUGUUUUGACAAAACUCAAGCACCAAACAUUUAAUUUUUUUUUUGUAUCUAACAUUUGUGGAUGUGCAUGUGUGCCUUCGUGUAGUGUUUAGGUGUGUCCCUCAGAGCUGUCCAUUUUGCCUGUUGGAGCAGGUUCUCUCAUUGGCACCUGGUUUCCUUGUAAGUGUAGGGAGCAGCGAGCCCAGGGAUACUCCUGUCCCUGCCUUUCUAGGAGCCUGCUUUUUAUAAUAGGUGUGUGGAGGGAGCUCAGGCAGGUCCCUGUGCCUGUGUGGCAAACACUGGGUCCACGGAGCUCUUUCUCAGCCCCUAUCACACACUAAAAAAGAGAUUUGUGUGUAUUUAUGUGAGUGUGUAUACCGCAGGUGUGCAAAUGCCCACAGAGGUCUCUGCAAGAUCUGCCAGUGCUUUUGACUGUCAAGCCAUCUCUCCAGCUCCAGCCGCGGUGUUUUUAAAUGAUAGUUCUUGUUGUUCGAGCUUCUGACACUGCGCCUCCCCACCUCCGUCCCACCUUCAUCACUGCAGGGUCACCAGAAAUGCUGCCCAUCUCUCCAGAAUCACCUCUGCCACCUGCGUUCUCUCUCUCUCUCCCU